GUGCGCGGCGCGGGUCUCCAGGCCCGCCAACCCUGCCCCCCUCACCUCUCCAGGCCCCCACCGCUCGCACCCCUCCUCCUGCCGCCUGCGGCUUCCUCUUGUUGUUCGUUGUUGGCUUGAGCUUUUUGGAGGGGAGCGAGGGGGUGACUGUAGUGUGUGUGCCAGCGGAGGAGGAAGUCAGGUGAGAGGCCUUGAUGCACCCCCAAACCCAUCCUGAGCGGGGUGUAUCGCUCCCCAGUAGGGACAUGUGGGCCAAUUUAUUUCUCUCGUCAGUGUUCGAUCGAGACGAUCUUUCCUAGAGGGCCUCGUUCCCUUACAGUCUUGCUAUGUCCGAGUCCCUUCACCCCACUCUCGCCCCUCCCGGGCCCUUUACCCGUAGCACUGCACCCUAGCUGAAGAACACGUGAUGAAUGGAGGAGAGGGGUGUUUUGUAAACCCCUACGCCAUGCCCCAGCCUAUUUAUUUCAAUAUUCAUCCUUCCAUCAGCCGCUGUACUUCUUUUCAACCCACUGGAAAGGGACGCCUAAGCUGAGGUUCAAUUUCCCUCAAAAAGCAGGGGCAAAGAGGAUGUCAUAGACAGGGGACCCGGGAGAGGAGAGGGGCAAGGACACCUUAGCAAAUGGGGACUGAAACUUCAAAAACCUUCUCUGCAAGAUCUGGGGUGACUGUAGGCUCAGGACUCCUGGCUAACAAGAAACUGGACCUCCAUCAACUUUACCCCCUUCUUUCCUGUCAUUCCACCCCCCAGCUCUAAGGAAGCUUAACAGGUCUUUUGUUUUUGUAUUGUGUUAUCUUUGGGAAAUUUGCCUUGAGUAUGACAACAGAAAAUUACUACUGUUUACUCAUGGUUAGGAGGAUUGUGGAAAGAAAAAACAUAGCCUUCUCUCUGUGCGUGUGUGUGUGUGUGUGUGUGGCAAGAAGUGCAGUUGUGAGGUUCAUGGCAUGAACUGCAAAACAAUAAGGACUGUGGAGCUGCCUCCAUGUAUUUUUAGAAGCUGCACUUUCUUGAGUUCCUUUCACACAAGGCUUGCUCCCUUGUUAAGUCCCCAUAAAUAAUUGUAUUUAGAGAGAAGGAAUCUAGGGAAGCAGGAGGGAGAGUGCUAAAAUCUCCAUCCUGCCAGCGCAGAGCACUGUUUGCAGUGAAGUUCCUGGAAAGUGACUGUGGGCUGAGAAUUCAGUUUUUCCUAAAAGCUCUGUUAGGUCCUCUUCUGUCAUAAAGCACGCUGGGAAAAUCCUGAUAUCUGUGCAGUCUUAUUUUAUCUUUUACACAGCGGUUGAUUCAACUUUCAAGCCUGGGUAACACACACAUCCACUGUGUUGUAUUUUUGUGUGGUUUUUCUAAAUAAAGGAGAGCAGCGCAUGUAUUCCUGCUGCUUUCUGAUAUGCCAGUUCUUUUCUAUCAAUGGGUAUUGAAUUCACUGGAAUUCAUCUGUCUUUUUCAGCUGAUUAUCUUUUUAUGCAGAAACAAUUCCAAAGACAUAAAAAUAUAAAAAGUUUUAUGAAUUAGAGUGUGUUUCUUUAGACAACUGGCCCCCCUCUUUUGUAAGAUAUGAUUGGCAACCUCAACUCCUACUUCUGUAAAGCAGAAAGGUAUGAAUGUUGCAAUGGACAAAGCAAAGUAAAACACAUAUUUUCCUCCCUGGACCACUAUCUGCCUUCACACAUCCCAGGAGUCACCAAGUCCUUCUGCCUUAAUUUACAGAAUGCUGAAUUGUCUAACCAGUACCAAUAUUCCCAUUUGAGAAUGACAUCAGUUUGGGUAUGGAAAUAAUAAAUUCUCAGUCCUUAAUUACUGCUUAUUAGCAAUUUUUUUGUCACAGACAACUGAUUCUCCAAUUCCAAAAGCCAGAAAUGAAACUUAAAAGAUACUGAAAUACAAAAAAAAAGGGUUUUUUUUUUUUUUUUUUUUGUCUCUUACACACUGAUAUAUUCAUCUACUUCCCCAAGUUAUCAGCUGAGCCCACAUAAGUUAAGGUACAAGAUGUACCCAGGAGUUGAACCAAGGGAACAUUUUGCCCCAAACCUUUUGAACUUGCUUUUAUUUUCUUCUAAAGAGCUUAGUACGGAGAGUUCAUAGGCUUAGUAUAAGAUGGAAUUUUGUAAUGCUGACCACAGUACAUUAAAUAAUAUAUCUUGAUAAACUCUUACAAUGUAUGUGCCUUACCCCUGGCAUGUAGUAGGAAUUCAUUACAUACUUGCUGAAUUAAGAGGGUAAUGAAAUAAUGUAAUUCAGCUCAAAUUCAGUAGUACAGGGCUAAGCCUUCCUUCUGAAGAAAAGAGCAUUCAGUGUGAAAGUUACUAGGGUAUGACAUUUGUGCUUCUAAAUUUUUUUUUUUUUUAACAAGUUCAGAUCUAACUUAAAUAAUUGAAGGGCAAAUAAAUCUGAAACCUGUCACGUGGUUAAUAACAGUAGUGAACGUCAAAAGGUAGCCCUGGUGGCCAAGUAGUUAAGAGCUCAGACUGCUAACCAAAAGGUUGGUGGUUUGAAUCCCCCAGUUGCUCCUUGGAAACCCUAAGCAGUGGUUCUACUCUGUCCUACAGGGUCGCUGUGAGUCAGAAUUGACUUGACAGCAACAAUAUCAAAAGAGGGAGCACUAGUGACGCAAUAGUAAAAGUACUCCACUGCUAACCAAAAGUUCAGAAGUUCGAACCCACUAGCCACUCCGUGGGAGAAAGAUGUGGCAGUCUGUUUCCCUGAAGACGUAGAGCCUUGGAAAUCCUAUGGAGCUGUUCUUUUCUGGCCUUUAGAGUCACUAUGAAUCGGAAUUGACUCAUUGGCAGUGGGGAUGUCAGAAUCUACACUGGUUGUUUUCCUCUGAGAACAGACAAAAUAUAACCUACUAUAUAGUAUGAGAAAGAUGCAAGGAGGAACAAAACAGUAUUGGCCCUCAAGGAACUUAUUUGUUGGGAAAAUGACAUUAAAAUGUCAAAAAGACAGCCCAGUGAAUCAGUAAAUAGUUUGAAUCAAAGUAAUACUUGAGAAAAUUGAUUUUAUUUUUUUGUUUUUAAAACAGAGGAGGUAGAGUUCCUGGAAUCUCCAGGUUGGGAGGUAUUUUAAAGGCUGAUUUUGCUGUCGAACCCUGAGGGGCCAUCCAGUGCACACGUCCUGGUCCUGAGUGACUGGGAACGCACCACUUGCCUCCAUGAGGGUAAGGGUUUUACCUACAGAGCUCUUGGCACAGAGUAGAGUUCCAUAUAUAUUGUGUGGAUGAAUGAAUAAUUUCUGAAGUAGUUCCAUCUUUUUAUGCUUUAUUAGAUUUUCUUUCCUUGUAUUACACAGAAUUGGUCUUCCUGAGGAAGCCCUGGUGGCGUAGUGGUUAAGUGCUACGGCUGCUAACCAAAGGGUUGGCAGUUCAAAUCCGCCAGGUGCUCCUUGGAAGCUCUAUGGGGCAGUUCUACUCUGUCCUAUAGGGUCGCUAUGAGUCGGAAUCGACUCGACGGCACUGGGUUUGGUUUUGGUUUUUUUUUUUUUUUUUUGGUCUUCCUGAAACUUCUAACCAUUAGCUUUAGUUCUGCCAUUUACAGCAAAGCAGAGCAAAUCUGUUGUAUCAGUCAGGACAAGCUAUCUUAUACUGGAAAAACAAACAAUUCCAGUUUUUAGUGGCCUUGUGAUCUAGCAGCAUCUGAGGCUGUCUACAUUCAGGAGAAUCAGGAUCAGACCAAAGCUGAUUCCCAUGAGGCAGAGGUCAGACAUUUUCACCAUUUCUGACACCAGCCAAUCUCCCCACCCAGCACUCUAAUUCUUUGCUGGGUUUGAUAAUUCAUUGCAGUGGCCACACACAACUCACAGACCAUACUCAAAAUGAGGCGGUUUAUCAGGGAAGUAACAGGCUAUGACUCAGGAUCAGGAUCAGUUUAGAAGUAACAGGAUACAACUCAGGAGACAGGAUAUAGUUCGUCAAUCAGGACAGCUUCCAACCAGGACAGUUCUCAGCUCCUUCUUGGCCAUGCCCACAGGCAGGCCCUUCUCUGGCCAUGCCAGUUAAUGGUCCUUCUCUCAGCCACACCAUCCUACAGGCCCUCUCUAGGCCUCUGCCCUGCUCGAGCAAGUGUUAAUAGUUCUUUAUCCCUGCCAGCAAAUGCUCAGAGUCACCCCACUCUGCAAGCACGCCUCCUGCCUAAAGGUACUCAGCUCUCUCUUGUUCUGUGGGCUGGCAAGUCCACCACAGCACCUUCACUCUGUGGGCUGACAGGCACCACUGCAGCCAUCUGCCAGUCCCGUGAUUCUCACUGCUGGUACUGCUGCCACCGUUUCUUUGGUCCUGGCCUCUGCUGUGGUUACCACCAUUUCUUGCCGUCUCACACUGUCUUCAGUGUUACAACUCUCUCUGUCUCCUAGGUCUGGGAGGUUCUCAGUGCAGGGACCUUGGGUCCAAAGGAGCCCUGCUCCAGGCCCUUCUUGAUGGGAGUGAGAUCCCCCCUGAUUCUUUGUGGGGUUGGCCUUUAUGUAAGCAAACUCCUUGUCAAUUUCAAGGCAUGCCCUCCCACCAGGACUAUGAACUGACCAAUCCCCUCAGAAGACGACAGUCGCUCAAUUUACAUGUUAAUUGGCCAGUUCCCACAAGGUCACUUAAUCCUAUUAUGUGGUUUUCCACAUCAUAUUUACGUAGUAUUCUGACCAAUCACUUGCUAGAUUUUGGCCUAGCCAAUCAUUCUGGCAGAAUUACAAACACAAGGCCAGAAAGGCCGUAUGUAAGAGAAAACCAUAUAUAAGAGAAACCCAUUGCACUGAAGGCCUAUUACAGCAAAGAAAUCCCUGGGUGGUACCAAUGGUUAGGCACUUGGCUACUAACCAAAAGGCUGGUGAUUCAAGUCCACCCAGAGGCACCUCGGAAGACAGGCCUGGCGACCUGCUUCCCAAAAGGUCACAGCCUUGAAAACCCUAUGGAGCAGUUCUAACUCUACACGUGUGGGGUCACCAUGAGUCAGAAUUGACUCGAUGGCAACUAACAACAACAACAAUAAAUGGCAAAAAGAAAGAUCAUUUUGGAGGGUCUUAUGCUGGCAUUUACAUGCUGUGGGCCAGAAGUAACACAAAUCAUUUGGGCUCACACCUAUAUGACCAAGACUAGUUGCAUGUCUUCAUGGAGCCACCACAAGGGGGCCAGAUAGUGCAGCCUACCUUGGGCCCAAAAGUAAAGAACUGUGGUGCACAGCUCUAAGGACAACUGUCCUCAUAACCACAUGAUAGCUCGCCAGCUAAACAAUCCCUUCCUGCCACCAUGGGCCCCAAGUCAUCCCUUCUUCAGGGUAAAUACUGCCAGAGUUGCCACCAGCUUAUAGAGAGACAUGGUGACUUCUUUCACCAUCUCCUUUCUUUGAAUGAAGUACUGACUCACUUUCCUCACCCCCAAGUGUCAUGCCCUAUCCAUUAUAAGUUACUUUGUUAUAUUUAGUAAUAUUUUAUACAUUUUAUUUUCUCAAGCCUUGUUUUCCUGGAAAGGGUGCGAUGAACAGAAACUUUUAACAGCUGUAUCUGAAGAUGUCAUGAUCAUUAUCAAAACUUGAAAUGUGAUCUUGAGUAGUCACUUCCCUUAUUUCGAAUGUCAAAUGCUUUGUAUAAUCUUGCAAUGCAAAAAAUCCUCUUGGAAUUAUUUAUUCAUUCAUUCAUAUAUUCAUUCAUUCAAUAGUCAUUGUGUACCUACUAGGUGCUAGGCACUCUGUUAAGGACUGGGGACUUGGAGAUGACUAAAGGUCCUUUUCACGAAGAAACACAUUUCUGAUUGGGCAGACAGACACAAAAAUUCGCGACAAUGCUAAUAGAGGCACCAAAUGCUAUGGGAAUAUUGGGGAGAAGCGAAUAGCUCUUUGGAAGAAUUUAGGAAAGCUCCAGACAGGAAAUUGACUCUUGAACUAAGUCUUGAAGGAUGAAUGAGGACCCUCUAGGCAGAGAAGGUAGAUGGGGGGAAGAUGUUCCACAGAGGGAGACCAGCAUGGGCAAAAGCACUGAGGGUGACACAGCUUGGUGUUUAGGGAAAUGUAAGGAAUUCGGUGUGGCUGGAAUAUAGGGUCUUUGUGAAGAAUGAAGCCAAACAGUGCCAAGUUGUGAAGGACUUUGCACAUAAGGCCUGGAGUUUGGUCUUUAUACUGUAUAUCAGGGUUUAUAAACAUGUCUACCUCGGGGCAGGCGUUGAGUAUAAGUGAGCAAAGUAGACAAAGUUAAAACCAUAAGGAGUGGUGGCGACUGUGGCAAUCUGGAGAAUAUAUUCUCUGUGGAAAUGAGAUAGUCAGUGCUAAUGAUGCCAAUUGUUGGAUCUUCGCAUUUUUAAAGAAAAGCUGAAAAUUCCAAUUUACAUGAAAAAAUGGAAUAUAAAAUACUCACAGUGUAUCAUAUUUUGAAGUACACGUGUCGGGAAAGAAACCUUUCUGUAGGUCAAAAUAAGCUGGAGGGCCAGCAGUCAAUAUCUCCUGUUGUACAUGGUAGUCAUUAAAGGUUUAUAAGGAUGGAAGUAAGACCAUCAGAUCUCUUCAGAAAAAUCAUUCUGGUGAGAAAGUUGAUAGGGAGAAUCUGGAGCCCGGGACACUAUAGUUGAUACUCCAUAAUCAUUUGAGGAGCGAUACAAAGCCCUUUAUAACACUGUGCCCAUUCUACAUAGGAGACACUUGAAAAACGUUUGUAGAGCUAAGGAAUGAAUGAAAGCUAAAGUUGUAGAAACAGUAUACACAUUUUGAGUGCUUCUUAUGUCUUAACAUUUCCUUUGCUAGAUUGCUUGUUUUUCAAGAGUACUAUGAUCUUAUGAUCUUAUAUUGAUCGUAUAUAAUUCUUCUGUUCCUCUGUCCUCUAGGGUCGCUGUGAGUCGGAAUCAACUGGAUGGCACUGGGUUUGGAUGUUGCAGUUCACUGCUUCUAUAGGACUUCAGCUGCAGAGCCCAGGUGUGUAUCCUCCUAGCCCAGGCUGCCAUUUCACAACCAGUGAUGACUGGUCACAUGAAGAAGCAGAAAAGAGUAUGAUAAUAGGGAAAAUUCCUAUCCCUCUUGGAAAAAAAAUGGAUCAAAGGACUCGACUGCCAACGGUGAAUCAAUAACAAGUCAAUAACAUGUGAGGGGCAAUUUUACUAAGAGGGCUCCAGAAAAUGUCAAACGAGAACUUGACGUGGAAGCUCUUUGGAAACCAUGAAGCACUCUGUAAAUGAAAAGGAAGAUGAUAUUGAGCUUCUGCAAUGAUGCGGGGAGCAUCAAAAGAGGAUGGAAACAUCAUCCUGAGACCAGAAGAACUAGAUGGUGCCUGGCCACAACCAAUGACUGCCCUGACAGGGAGCAUAACAGAGAACCCCCGAGGGAGCAGGAGAACAGUGGGAUGCAGACCCCAAAUUCUCAUAAAAAGACCAGACUUGAUGGUCUGACUGAGACUAGAAGAAUCCCGGUGGUCACGGUCCCCAAACCUUCUGUUGGCUCAGGACAGGAACCAUUCCCAAAGACAACUCAUCAGACAUGGAAGGGACUGGACAAUGGAUUGGAGAGAGAUGCUGAUGAAGAGUGAGCUACUUGCAUCAGGUGGACACUUGAGACUGUGUUGGCAUCUCCUAUCUGGAGGGGAGAUGGAGGGUAGAGAGGGUUAAACAACAACAAAAAAAAAUUGGUAUCUCCUGUCUGGAGAGGAGAUGGGAGGGUAGAGAGGGUUAGAAACUGGCAAAACGGUCACGGUCACAAAAGGAGAGACUGGAAGGAGGGAGUGGGCUGACUCAUUAGGGGGAGAGCAAAUGGGAGUAUGUAGUAAGGUGCAUAUAAGCUUAUGUGUGACUGACUUGAUUUGUAAACUUUCACUUAAAGCACAAUAAAAAUUAUUAAAAAAAAAAAAGAAGAUGGAAGGAAUAGGCAGCGUUACUGUACCCAAAAGAAUUGGUCAGUGUUCAACCAUUUUAGGAGGUAGCAUAUGAUCCAGAACUGAUGAUACUGAAGACGUCCACUGAAAGCAUAGGUGAAAAACAAGGCUCCAGGAAUUAAUGCAAUACCAACUGAGAUGUUUCAACAAACAGGAUGCAAUGCUAGAAAUGCUCACUCAUCUCUGCUAAGAAAUUUGGAAGACAGCUACUUAGCCAACCAACUAGAAGAGAGCCAUAUUCAUGCCCAUUCCAAAGGAAGGUGAUCUAACAGAAUGUAGAAAUUAUUGAACAAUAUCAUUAAUAUCACAUGCAAAUAGAAUUAUUAAAAUAGAUAGCUAUAAUAGAUAAUUCAAAAAUGGUUGCAGCAAUAUAUUGACAGAAAUUCAGAAUGAGAUUCCAGCAUACUUAAUAUUGUGCUCAUACAGAACCUAUAUGUAGACCGAGAGGCAGCCAUUCAAACAGAAGGGGAUACCGCAUGGUUUAAAAUCAGGAAAGGUGUGCAUCAGGUUUGUAUCCUUUCACCACACUUAUUGAAUCUGUAUGUUAAGAAAAUUAUUUAAGAAACUGGGCAAUAUGAAGAAGAAUGAGGCAUCAGAACUGAAGGAAGACUUAUUAACAACCUGUGCUAUGCAGAUGAUACAAUCUUGCUUGUUGAAAGUAAAGCGGACUUGAACCACUUACUGAUGAAGAUCAAAGACUACAGCCUUCAGUAUGGAUUAUACCUCAACAUAAAGAAAACAAAAAUCCUCACAACUGGACCAAUAAGCAACAUCAUGAUAAAUGAAGAAAAGAUUGAAGUUGUCAAAGAUUUCAUUUUACUUGGAUCCACAAUCAACAUCCAUGGAAGCAACAGUCGGGAAAUCAAACAACGCAUUACAUCAUUGAGCAAAUCUGCUGCAAAAGACCUUCUUGAGAGCAUUAAAAAGCAAAGGUGUCACUUUGAGACCUAAGGUACACCUGACUUAAUCCAUGGUAUUUUCAUUCAUCUCGUGCAUACAAAGCUGGACAAUGAAUAAGGAAAACCAAAGAAGAAUUGAUACAUUUGAAUUAUGGUUUUGGCGAAGGAUACUAAAUAUAUCAUGAGCUACUAGAAGAAUGAACAAAUCUGGGUGGGAAGAAGUACAGCCAGAGUGCUCCUUAGAAGUGAGGAUGGCGAGACUUCAUCUCACGUACUUCGAACGUGUUAUCAGGAGGGGCCAGCCAGUCCCUCGAGAAGGACACCAUGCUUGGUAAAGUAGAGGGUCAGCAAAAAAAAGGAAGACCCUCAACGAGAUAGACUAACACAGUGGCUGCAACAGUGGUCUCAAACAGGACAACAAUUGUGAGGAUGUUGUAGGACUGGGCAGUGUUCCCUUCUGUUGUACAUGGGGUUGCUAUGAGUUGGAACUGACUUGACAGCACCUAAAAACAACAAUAUCGUAGAUCUCUAGGUGGUACAAAUAGUUCGCUCUUGGCUUCUAACAUAAAGGUUGGCCAUUUGAACCCACCCAGCACCACCUCAGAAGAAAGGCCUGGCAAUCUGCUUCCAUAAAGAUUACAGCCAAGAAAACCCUGUAAUACAUGGGGUUGCCAUGAGUCAGAAUCGACUGGACAGCAAUGAGUUUGGUUUCGUUUUGGUCUGUCUAUCAUAUCUGGACAGUAGAAAUACCAUAUAAUGGUGUAGCUCUACACAGCUCUUCCCAACUCUGCAUUAAGUGAUAUCAUGUCGGUAGUUUGAAAUCAGUUGUGAUUGUAGAAUUUUACAGAAAUCAGAAAACACUACAAAUCAGGGAUCCGCUCCUCUUGAGAGCCAGUUGUUAAACAUUUACCAGCGCAUCACUGCCUAGAGCCUACAUCUGGGGAAGUGAGCCACUAACCUAAUGGCUUCUCAUCGCCGUACACCUGUCUAGAUGUUACAAACCUGCCCUUCCCCUGAGAUUCAGCCCCAAAAAUGUAUGUGUGAAGUACAUAUUGAAAACUAGAACCCUAAUACCAUCUAAUCUACUUCCCUACUUCUGUCUCCCUUUUCUCCCUACUAGCUCUUAGGAUCAGAAGGAGCAAACUCUUGGCUUUUUAUUUCCUCCACAGCUUAUCUUUUAUAUAUUAAGGAUAAACAUUCAUGGCCUAAUAUCGCCUCUUUGGUAUUCUUCCCCCAAAUCCAUAAUCUUAAUCUAAUGAUGAGAAAACGUGAGACAAACUCAAACUGAGGGACAUUCUACAAAAUAUUUGGCCAAUUAAUUCUCUUCGAAACUGUUGAGGUCAGGAAAGACUGAGAAAUUGUCACAGAUUGGAGACUACGGGGACACAAUGGAGUCACUGAGCGACGUAAACAGUUGACACACUCGGCUGCUAACUGAAAAGUUGGAGGUUCAUGUCCACCCAGAGGUACCUCAGGAGAAAACCCUGGCAAUCCACUUCCAAAAACUCAGCCGUUGAAAAUCCUGUGGAGCACAGUUUUACUCUGAGGACCAUGGUGUCUCAAUGAGUCAGAAUCAGCUCGAGAGUUGACUUGAUGGCAACUGGAACUGGUACUAAGUUUAAGUGCAACGUGGAUUGGAUCCUGAAAAAGAAAAAGGACAUUAGUGGGGAAACUGGGUAAAAAUGGGAUUAAAACAAACAAACAACAACUACAAAGUCUAGCAUUGAACCAAUGUUAGUUUCCUGGUUUUGAUCAUUGUACCAUGGUGAUGUAAGAUGUUAACAUUGGGAGGAGCUGGGUAACGAGUAUAUAGGACCUUUCUGUACUAUCUUCACAACUGCUCUGUAAAUAUAAAAUUAUUGCAGAAUAGGACUAUUGAAAAAAAAAUGGCCUACAUCAUAGGUAGAAUGGGUAUCUUCUCUACACUAUGAAAAAAAAUUAUGGCCUACAUACACCUGCUUCUUGAUAUGAUAAAAGGGAAAAAGAGGGAUUGUAGAAAAUUUUUCUUUUAAUAAAGCUUGGCUUUCAAGCCUUUUAUCUUUUCGUAGAAUUAAAAAAAAAAAAUUCCUACUUUGCAUGUUAGAGGCCGAACAUCAACUCUUUCCCUUUUUCUUUACAGCCUUACUAUGAUAAUCUUUAUUCCCCUCCCUGAAAGUGUAUGUCUCCUGACAAUGAAAGAGAAGGUCACAUACAUGGAACAGAGAAUAAUACAAUUAAAAAAUAUUACUUUUAUUUUCUGUUGAUCUGAAAAAUGGGCCAGUGUUCACAUAGCUAUGUCUCUUUCUAAAUAGAAGAAUAACCAGGGACAAUACAAUAACGGGGAAGGAGUCGUUGGUGAUAUAAACAGUUAAGCGCUCAACUACUACUGAAAGGUUGGCAGACCGAACCCACCCAGAGGCGCCUUGAAGACAGGCCUGGGGAUCUGCUUCUGAAAUGUCACAGCCUUGAAGACCCGAUGGAGUAGUUCUACUCUGCACACAAGGGAUCUUCAUCAGUCGGAAUCAGCUGGAUGGCAACGAAUAACAACAACAAAGAUGCUUUAGGGCAAUGCUUCUCAAACUUUAUUUUACAUUUGUAUCAUUCGGGGAUCUUGUUAAAGUACAGAAUCCUAUUCAUCAGGUUUGGGGGGUAAGCUGCCUUGGGUGAUGCAAAUGGUUAAGUGCUCAAGUACAAGCCAAAAUGUCGGCUUUUCGAACCCACCCAGAGGCACAUGGGAAGACAGACUUGGCAAUCUGCGUCCUAAAAAUCACAGCCUUGAAAACCCUAUGCAGCAGUUCUACUCUGCAUGUGUGGGGUCUCCAUGAGUUGGAACCAACUCAAUGUCAAAUAACAGUAACAACAGCUUUGGGGUGAGGGCCCAAUGUUUGGAUUUUCUAGCAAGUUCCAAGGUGAUGCCAAGCUACUGGUGUUGGCAUAGGAGGAAUCUUGGACCCUUUCUUAGGCUUUUCCUAUCUUCUCUGUACUGUCAGCCUGAGGAAAGUGUUUAUUGGCCAGAGACUUAAAAGGCAUAGGAAAUGCACAGUGUCUCUCUAAGACCAGAAACUAAAUAAGCAAUGUCUGACAUUAUUGCAUGCACUGAGACGGAGUGAAGGAUGGAUUGCCCAGGCGUUCACUGGUUGUAAGUGGAGUUGUUUGGGGGGCUUAAUUUUAAGCCUCAAAUAAGAGUCAUUGUAUCUAGUCAUAACCUUUCACUGGAGCGGAAAAAAUCAACAUUUUCCAUUAAGGAGAAUCGGAAGCUCUCAGAAUUACUAAGUUGCACAGUGAUCAUUUACAUGAAUCUGUUCCCUCCUCCAAAAGUUGCAAACGAUUAUGGUUCCUAGAAAAUAAUAUAUUUUUUUCAUGCAUAUUGUUAAUCUACGGAAAGGUUGUCCAAAAAUUUUAGACAAUUUGCUUGUAUCACAGAGGCAAUCCAUGUCAGUCAAAAAAGAUACAUUUUAGAAUGCAAAAUGUUACAACCAGGGGAGAAUAAAGCCUGGCAUAGUGGGUCAGUGCCACGGCUGCUAACCAAAAGAUCGGCAGUUCGAAUCCACCAGACGCUCCUUGGAAACUCUAUAGGGCAGUUCUACCCUGCCCUAUAGGGUCACUAUGAGUCGCAAUCAACUCAACAGCAAUGGGUUUGGUCAGGUGCACCUGUGUGUUUUACCCCACAUUAUUAGGGGCAUCCAAGGUGUAACAUGCAUUGACAGAGCCACUCUGCGAGCACUUAAAACGUCGGGCAUUUUUCUAGAAGAGUGAGUCUUUCAGUGGUUGUGAAGGCAGUCUGCCAAUCUAAUACAUGAUUUAUAAAUAUUGUGAUGUACUUGACUGGAGUAGACCUGACUUUGCUAAACACUGAUCAGUUCUUUUCCCCGGUAUUUCUUUAAGAAGCAACAUCGCUUGUCUUACCAAUAUCUAUUAUCAAACCUACGAUAAAUAUAAAUAGCCUUACAAAUAGUAAAAUGUGAGCCCGUAUGCAGAGCCUGCAUCCUGGUGGGCACUGUCUUCUUUAGUAAUAGCUUUUCCUGGUGUUCUGGCCACUGCCAAACAGACUGCUUAUGCAAUCUGUGGCUUUGUUAAUGCUCUUAUGGGAUUAAAAAAAAAAAAAAAACACCCA